GUGCACCAGGCGCGAAACUUUACAAUGUGCGAAAGCACGAUAAGGGAACUCUGAGUGCCUCCUAAGGAGGCUGUUCAGGUGUCUAAAAGCACCUGGAGUAGGGGCUGGGUAAGACCGGUGCCAGCCGCCGCGGUAACACCGGCAGCCCCAGGUGGUAGCCACUUUUAUUGGGUCUAAAGCGUCCGUAGCCGGUUGAGUAAGUUCCUUGGGAAAUUUGGCUGCUCAACAGUCAAGCUUCCAGGGAAUACUGCUCGACUUGGGACUGGGAGAGGGUCAGAGGUACUCCAGGGGUAGGGGUGAAAUCCAUUAAUCCCUGGGGGACCACCGGUAGCGAAGGCGUCUGACCAGACCAGGUCCGACGGUGAGGGACGAAGGCUAGGGGCGCGAACCGGGAUUAGAUACCCCCCGUAGU
rnacentral:rRNA from 1 species